rnacentral:rRNA from 1 species
GGGGAAUAUUGCGCAAUGGGGGCAACCCUGACGCAGCCAUGCCGCGUGAAUGAAGAGGGCCUUCGGGUUGUAAAGUUCUUUCGGUAGCGAGGAAGGCAUUUAGUUUAAUAGACUAGGUGAUUGACGUUAACUACAGAAGAAGCACCGGCUAACUCCGUGCCAGCAGCCGCGGUAAUACGGAGGGUGCGAGCGUUAAUCGGAAUAACUGGGCGUAAAGGGCACGCAGGCGGUGACUUAAGUGAGGUGUGAAAGCCCCGGGCUUAACCUGGGAAUUGCAUUUCAUACUGGGUCGCUAGAGUACUUUAGGGAGGGGUAGAAUUCCACGUGUAGCGGUGAAAUGCGUAGAGAUGUGGAGGAAUACCGAAGGCGAAGGCAGCCCCUUGGGAAUGUACUGACGCUCAUGUGCGAAAGCGUGGGGAGCAAACAGGAUUAGAUACCCUGGUAGUCCACGCUGUAAACGAUGUCGAUUUGGGGGUUGAACUUUAAGUUUGGCGCCCGUAGCUAACGUGAUAAAUCGACCGCCUGGGGAGUACGGCCGCAAGGUUA